CGACAACGUCGGAGGUGUAUUUUGGCGCCUCUUCUAGUGACUGGCAUAGUUUCGAUGAUAACAUCAACUGUUUGUGAUCUUGUGGUCAUGUCGUCUGCAUCGGAGGAGUAUUGGAGUCUUUUCCUGUGAUUGACGUCGUAACAACAGGAGAUUUCUCCAAGCAAAAACAGGAUCCUGAAUAUGAGGCAGAAUCAUCGUACAGCCAGCUGUCCGUUUUACAGAAAUGCAGAAUUAGGUUCAUUCAGAUCUUUGUGGCACCAAAUGCAUUGAAAGUAACAGGUCAGCUGGCAUUCUGGAAAGAGGGUGCAAAGAAAAAGGAUCUGCCUGAAUCCCAUCCUGCUGUUUCUCAUCGGAGAGCUUGUCAACUUUGACUGUCAAAAUUACUGAAAUUUAACACAACACAAACUCAUUUUUACUGUUACUAUUAUUUGAUUUUUAUUAACACUACCAGUCAAAAGUUUUUGAACGGUAAGAUUUUUAAUGUUUUUAAAGUAGUCUCUUCUGCUCACCAA